CAUUGAUUUUUAGUCAUCCAUUCAUAUAAUUUUCACCACUAGUUUGCCAUUUACGCUCAAUGGAAUGUGUUUGGGCGGAUAAUUGAGACUGAUUGUUCUCUGGCGUUGACGUUAUAUAUUUACACGUUUGUCCAACUAUUUGCGCUUAUGAAAUCAUGCAUCAUGUGAUAAUAUUAAUAUAAAGUGAUUACAGCAGCAGAUGUGAGGAAUAUCUGUCUGAACAACUAUGUACACAAGCUUGGUAUGUUGUCACUAUUGCAGGAAUUGAUACGCACAUUUGAAAGUUAGUUUGACGACAUCCUUUUCUUAGAAUUAGAGUGGCAGUGAGGGAAUAUAAAGCCAUCUGUUGUAGUGGAUCCGCGAAAUAGUGACAAUUUUUAAACACUUCCAGAGUUUGAAAACGCAACAGUUAGACACCGACGUAGGUCCAACAUGAUUCUAUUGGUGCAUGAUAAUAGAGAGUAUUUAGUGUAAGGAGGUUAGAUGUAGCGUCGUCACCGGUCUUUGUCAUCGUUGUUAAGGGUUGAUAGGAGUUAUGUACCAUGCCUGUACUCUGAAAGCUUUCUGCACUCCAAAUACAUUGCAAACAGGUUGGAAAGAGAUGUAAAAAUGUGUCCUAACCGCUUCAAUGACGAGAAUGCUGAUGAGCGACGCCAACAUCAGAUACAGCCGGAUUGGGAAACGGCCAAGAACGGAACGGUGUGGUUGCUCAGCAGUAACAGGUGACGCCGACAAUGGAGCUACGUCACGGCCUAUUGUGUCCCCAAAGCUGUUGACAUCACAGAACGAUUACGUCAACAAUCACUUGACGUCAUCAUCAAAUCUGGCUGUCAGCACGGAACACGGCAGGCGGGCUUGUUGCUGCCGUCAGACACGCCUGGUUUACACAGGCCAAUACUGACGAGAUAUGGACUCGAGUUCGACUCAGGUUGGAAAGAGAUGUAAAAAUGUGUCCUAACCGCUUCAAUGACGAGAAUGCUGAUGAGCGACGCCAACAUCAGAUACAGACGGAUUGGGAAACGGCCAAGAACGGAACGGUGUGGUUGCUCAGCAGUAACAGGUGACGCCGACAAUGGAGCUACGUCACGGCCUAUUGUGUCCCCAAAGCUGUUGACAUCACAGAACGAUUACGUCAACAAUCACUUGACGUCAUCAUCAAAUCAGGCUGUCAGCACGGAACACGGCAGGCAGGCUUGUUGCUGCCGUCAGACACGCCUGGUUUACACAGGCCAAUACUGACGAGAUAUGGACUCGAGUUCGACUCAGGUAAACCAGACCCUCUAUUCCCUGCUUGAAAUACAGUUUAGAGUCGCAUCUGAACAAGACAUACACGCUAUAAACUGGCAUGAGCGUGUAUCCAGGGCUUGGUCAUGCGUCUGUCGGUGGUGAAUCGCGCUUGUUGCGCAUUUGUCCUGUUGUGAAAACAUGUUGACAAAUUCGGAGUGGAUAUCUGUUUAUAAGCCCAGUCUGAAACAUUGUUGUUACCGGUAGGGCAGGGCAUGCUUACCCUUUCGCGAACACCUGGUGUCAUCAUUGAUUUUUAGUCAUCCAUUCAUAUAAUUUUCACCACUAGUUUGCCAUUUACGCUCAAUGGAAUGUGUUUGGGCGGAUAAUUGAGACUGAUUGUUCUCUGGCGUUGACGUUAUAUAUUUACACGUUUGUCCAACUAUUUGCGCUUAUGAAAUCAUGCAUCAUGUGAUAAUAUUAAUAUAAAGUGAUUACAGCAGCAGAUGUGAGGAAUAUCUGUCUGAACAACUAUGUACACAAGCUUGGUAUGUUGUCACUAUUGCAGGAAUUGAUACGCACAUUUGAAAGUUAGUUUGACGACAUCCUUUUCUUAGAAUUAGAGUGGCAGUGAGGGAAUAUAAAGCCAUCUGUUGUAGUGGAUCCGCGAAAUAGUGACAAUUUUUAAACACUUCCAGAGUUUGAAAACGCAACAGUUAGACACCGACGUAGGUCCAACAUGAUUCUAUUGGUGCAUGAUACUAGAGAGUAUUUAGUGUAAGGAGGUUAGAUGUAGCGUCGUCACCUGUCUUUGUCGUGGUUGUUAAGGGUUGAUAGGAGUUAUGUACCAUGCCUGUACUCUGAAAGCUUUCUGCACUCCAAAUACAUUGCAAACAGGUUGGAAAGAGAUGUAAAAAUGUGUCCUAACCGCUUCAAUGACGAGAAUGCUGAUGAGCGACGCCAACAUCAGAUACAGACGGAUUGGGAAACGGCCAAGAACGGAACGGUGUGGUUGCUCAGCAGUAACAGGUGACGCCGACAAUGGAGCUACGUCACGGCCUAUUGUGUCCCCAAAGCUGUUGACAUCACAGAACGAUUACGUCAACAAUCACUUGACGUCAUCAUCAAAUCAGGCUGUCAGCACGGAACACGGCAGGCAGGCUUGUUGUUGCCGUCAGACACGCCUGGUUUACACAGGCCAAUACUGACGAGAUAUGGACUCGAGUUCGACUCAGGUAAACCAGACCCUCUAUUCCCUGCUUGAAAUACAGUCUAGAGUCGCAUCUGAACAAGACAUACACGCUAUAAACUGGCAUGAGCGUGUAUCCAGGGCUUGGUCAUGCGUCUGUCGGUGGUGAAUCGCGCUUGUUGCGCAUUUGUCCUAUUGUGAAAACAUGUUGACAAAUUCGGAGUGGAUAUCUGUUUAUAAGCCCAGUCUGAAACAUUGUUGUUACCGGUAGGGCAGGGCAUGCUUACCCUUUCGCGAACACCUAGUGUCAUCAUUGAUUUUUAGUCAUCCAUUCAUAUAAUUUUCACCACUAGUUUGCCAUUUACGCUCAAUGGAAUGUGUUUGGGCGGAUAAUUGAGACUGAUUGUUCUCUGGCGUUGACGUUAUAUAUUUACACGUUUGUCCAACUAUUUGCGCUUAUGAAAUCAUGCAUCAUGUGAUAAUAUUAAUAUAAAGUGAUUACAGCAG